rnacentral:rRNA from 1 species
ACAUGCAAGUCGAGCGGGCACUUUCGGGUGCUAGCGGCGGACGGGUGAGUAACGCGUGGGAACAUACCCUUUGGUACGGAAUAGCCUUGGGAAACUGAGAGUAAUACCGUAUGUGGUCGUAAGACGAAAGAUUUAUCGCCAAAGGAUUGGCCCGCGUUGGAUUAGGUAGUUGGUGGGGUAAUGGCCUACCAAGCCGACGAUCCAUAGCUGGUUUGAGAGGAUGAUCAGCCACACUGGGACUGAGACACGGCCCAGACUCCUACGGGAGGCAGCAGUGGGGAAUCUUAGACAAUGGGCGCAAGCCUGAUCUAGCCAUGCCGCGUGAUCGAUGAAGGCCUUAGGGUUGUAAAGAUCUUUCAGUGGGGAAGAUAAUGACGGUACCCACAGAAGAAGCCCCGGCUAACUCCGUGCCAGCAGCCGCGGUAAUACGGAGGGGGCUAGCGUUAUUCGGAAUUACUGGGCGUAAAGCGCACGUAGGCGGACUGACAAGUCAGAGGUGAAAUCCCAGGGCUCAACCUUGGAACUGCCUUUGAAACUGUUAGUCUUGAGGUCGUGAGAGGUGAGUGGAAUUCCGAGUGUAGAGGUGAAAUUCGUAGAUAU